CCUACGGGAGGCAGCAGUAGGGAAUAUUGCUCAAUGGGGGGAACCCUGAUGCAGCAACGCCGCGUGGAGGAUGGAGGUUUUCGGAUUGUAAACUCCUUUUGUUAGAGAAGAUGAUGACGGUAUCUAACGAAUAAGCACCGGCUAACUCCGUGCCAGCAGCCGCGGUAAUACGGAGGGUGCAAGCGUUACGCGGAAUCACUGGGCGUAAAGAGCGCGUAGGCGGGAUAGCAAGUCAGAUGUGAAAGCCUAUGGCUUAACCAUAGAACUGCAUUUGAAACUGUUAUUCUAGAGUAUGGGAGAGGUAGGUGGAAUUCUUGGUGUAGGGGUAAAAUGCGUAGAGAUCAAGAGGAAUACUCAUGGCGAAGGCGACCUGCUAGAACAUAACUGACGCUGAUGCGCGAAAGCGUGGGGAGCAAACAGGAUUAGAUACCCGUGUAGUC
rnacentral:rRNA from 1 species